rnacentral:rRNA from 1 species
UGAUCAUGGCUCAGAUUGAACGCUGGCGGCAGGCUUAACACAUGCAAGUCGAGCGGAGAGAGGUAGCUUGCUACUGAUCUUAGCGGCGGACGGGUGAAUAAUACUUAGGAAUCUGGCUAUUAGUGGGGGACAACAUUUCGAAAGGGAUGCUAAUACCGCAUACGUCCUACGGGAGAAAGCAGGGGAUCUUCGGACCUUGCGCUAAUAGAUGAGCCUAAGUCGGAUUAGCUAGUUGGUGGGGUAAAGGCCUACCAAGGCGACGAUCUGUAGCGGGUCUGAGAGGAUGAUCCGCCACACUGGGACUGAGACACGGCCCAGACUCCUACGGGAGGCAGCAGUGGGGAAUAUUGGACAAUGGGGGGAACCCUGAUCCAGCCAUGCCGCGUGUGUGAAGAAGGCCUUAUGGUUGU